rnacentral:lncRNA from 1 species
UUUCAGCCCCGGUCUGUCCGGCUUAGGACUCCUUUCCUCUUGUUCCCACGUCCCUCAGGCGGCCACCCCUCAGGCGGCGCUCCCGCCCCGCGCUCCCUCUCUCUGCCUUUCUUUUCCAGCAGUCAAGAUCUUGGAAGCUUUGAAGCUCAGCAAAGAAGGGAAAUCCAUUGAGAACAGUCUGUUGAGGUAAGUGUAUUUAUUACAUAGCCUUGACAAACAUUGCUUUUACAACAUUGAUUUUUCUUUUAUUCAGGUAUU